UCACAAGUACCAAAAACACUGAUCAUACAUCUCCUAUUUGCCUAACGAAGUGACGUGUGAAGGAUGCAAAAGGCAUAAUUCCUGCCACAGAAACUUAGAAAUGAUCAACAUAAAGCCUGCAGUUCCCAGAGCAGAGGUCAGAGGAGGAGGUUGUGACACACAGGGGAGCGUCCCGAGAAGAGCUGGCUCGGACGCAGGAAGUGGCAGGGGUCGUGCUCUGGUGCCAAACCCAGGGGGAGGAGGGGGCUCUGUGCGGAAGUGAGACAAGAGGAGACACAAGGAGGAAAGGGAGGAAGAACCUCGCCUGGGACCAGAUGGGCAGAGCUAAGCCCACUGACGGGCUUUGACAGGGCAGGCGACCUGGGCAGCAGAAAAGCAGCAUGGGACCCAGAACACCCAGAGGCGGUUGUCACUGCCCAGAGGGACCCUCCAGACUGGACCAGCCCCUGAAUGGAGGGAGGGCAGCAGCAGGCAGAUGGCCGAGAGGACCCUGGACAGCGUGAAGGAUGGGCCAGGGAAGUGGCCAGCACAGCCCAGCAAGCACUGGACCAGUAAAGGAGGGCGGGGCCUCGGAGACGCCUCAAGCCACCUCCCCACCUUGGGGCUCGGCCCUGGACUUAGCCUGUGAGAGCACAGACAGCACCGGCCAGCAUCCUCCUCUGCGGCUGGGUCUCACUCGCAACUCAGGCGGGAGGAGGGAAAAGCCACAGCACAAGACGCUACCUUGACCUGCGGAGCCUGAAGCACAACAGGUGCACAGAACCAGGGCUCUGGGACCAAGGACAGAAACAAGGACUAAGAAUGAAAGGACACAUGAAUAAACAGAUCACCUCAUCAGACUACAGGAACAUGUUUUAUUUUUCCAGGUUUCUUUUUAAAACGUCUUGAGAUACCCUCAUCAUUUAAAUGCCAAUCCUUCCUGAAGACAAUGGCAUCAUAAAUGAAAAGACACAGAUGAGAGAACAUUCUAAGUGCAGGGCAGGCAGGGAGGAGGACUGUCCUCUCCGAUCCUCCCACCUCCUGUCCCUCCACCCCAGGACAUCACACCAACAGCCCCACUUCCCCCAGGCCCUCACGCUUCCUACAUCCCGCCAGAACCUGCAACAGCCAAGGAAAGGAGAUGGGAUGACACCCAAGAAGACGACAUCACGCUGAGUCACGGCCCAAAUGCCACCAUUUAAACAUAGUCCAAGUGCCCUGCUCUCCUCAAAGUGGGCCCUGAGCUCUCCAGCUUCAGAGACAAGGGCAAGGACGAAAUCACACCCACUGCAAUGAAAGAGCAAGGACCACAAGGCCCAGAGAGGGGAGCCCUGAUCCCAGAGCAUCAAGUGUAGCAGCCUCCCCUCCCCUGCAGAGUUUAACCAAUUAAACUCAAUUGAUCUUUCCUCCUAGAAAAGGCACCACCAGACAAGCAAAGCAGGCAGCCAGGAAACGGUGGGAGCUCUCAGGCCAGGGGCCAGGUCUGCGCUCAGUACAGUGGUUACAAAUACCCUGAGUAUCUGAACAAGACCAAAUUUCAAACCACCUGCCUUAUUUCCUUCAAGCUGGUUCCAAUCAUUUUUCUCUGUAACACAUCUGAGCAGCAGGAAGCUCGAGAAGGACACGCCCCUACCUGUCUGCUGGCUCCAGCUCUGCAGGCACUGGUGCCCCCUGGCGGCGAUGCGCAGGGCCACCAGUCCACCCCCUUCCCCAGAGCAGAAAGCCCAUCGCUAACAAUGCAGGGCCAGCCCUCAGUCGCAGGGCCCAGUGCAAAGCAGCAGAGAAAAGAAACCGUGUUCACUGUUCUGUCGGGGUUCAACAUCUCCUCCUGUGUUCCAACCACUUCCCCACGAAACCAAGGUAAACAGGGCUUGUCCCCAGGGUUCUGACAGCCCCACAAGCUGACCGCUGACCGCCCCGCACCACUGGGACAGUGUUUACCAGGGCCUGCAGCAUCCCGUCCAUGGCGAUGACCCCCUCGAUGGUCUGGAAGGAGGAGCAGGCCAAAGUGCAUAGGCUCCAGUCCAGGAAACUCGCCAUCUUCUUCUGCUUAACGUCGGGCCGCGUGACAAACCUGCCAAAAGGGGACAGACAGGAGCCUCCUGUCCUGACCAGGAGCCCCCACAGGCCCCUCUUCCCUCAAAACAGCCACCGCCACCCCACGCAAGAUGCUCAGCCAGCGCAGGGAUUACACUGCGGCCAUGUAGAAGCUCUCCGUGUCAGUAAAACAAAGCUGCCACGACUGUCUUCGCCCACCUCCAUCAGGGUACACACCCAGAGACUUGGUCACCAAGGAUUUACCAAACUGUAGGAUGCUGGUUACAAAGGCGAGCUCACAUGCCACCCCCGCCAGCCAAGAAGUUGCGUUACGGCGGGUCUGAGAAGAGGGCCCAGGAAUUUCAUAAAAUCUGCACCUCAGAGUGAUCAUCUAAAAUGGAUAACUGGUAUUAUACACCCUAUCUCAAUGUCCUUGGCCCUGUUCAAAGCUCCUUGAUUCUGGAGGGGGCCACAGGAUGAGGGUCACACCUACAGUGACCUGAUCCUCAGCCUGAAGACAACAGCCGGCCGGCACUCACCCUGCAUGUGGGCAGGCACAGCGCCUGCAGUGGGGUGGCCCUCAGGACAGGCGAGGUCACAGGCACAGAACGGCCCACAGGGCCGGUAAGCGGCCCUGCUGGGACCCAAAGCCCAACUUGGAGACGUGAGUCACAGCGCCAUCCACUCAGGGGCCACGCACCCUGCUUCCUCCACCCACUCAUCUGCUGAGCAGGCAGGAGGCUGAUGUUCUGUGUGCAGCCUGUAGCGGCCAACUUCCUUUCCUGGGCAAAAUCACACAAGGUGAGUUUCCAAAUUACAGUAAAAACCUAAGGUUCCUUUGAAAGAUUUAAGCAAAUAGGUUAUUUUAUAUUUUUUAUUUUUCUCUCUAAAAAAGGAAAUGUUAUGUUCGCAGCAGAGGUCCAAAAGUACAGAUAAGCAAAAAUGGAAAAUACCUAUCCCACAGGUGUAACACACAGAACGAGACCCUUCUACACAAACUGAAAGAUCUCUGAAUCCUACACUUCCUUCCCUUUUAGGAAAAGUUACAU